GACGAACGCUGGCGGCGUGCUUAACACAUGCAAGUCGAACGGAAAGGCCCUGCUUUUGUGGGGUGCUCGAGUGGCGAACGGGUGAGUAACACGUGAGUAACCUGCCCUUGACUUUGGGAUAACUUCAGGAAACUGGGGCUAAUACCGGAUAGGAGCUCCUGCUGCAUGGUGGGGGUUGGAAAGUUUCGGCGGUUGGGGAUGGACUGGCGGGUUAUCCGCUUGUUGGUGGGGUAGUGGCUUACCAAGGCUUUGACGGGUAGCCGGCCUGAGCGGGUGACCGGCCACAUUGGGACUGAGAUACGGCCCAGACUCCUACGGGAGGCAGCAGUGGGGAAUAUUGCACAAUGGGCGGAAGCCUGAUGCAGCAACGCCGCGUGCGGGAUGACGGCCUUCGGGUUGUAAACCGCUUUCGCCUGUGACGAAGCGUGAGUGACGGUAAUGGGUAAAGAAGCACCGGCUAACUACGUG
rnacentral:rRNA from 1 species